rnacentral:rRNA from 1 species
CCUACGGGAGGCAGCAGUGGGGAAUUUUGGACAAUGGGCGCAAGCCUGAUCCAGCAAUGCCGCGUGCAGGAUGAAGGCCUUCGGGUUGUAAACUGCUUUUGUACGGAACGAAACGGCUCUUUCUAAUAAAGAGGGCUAAUGACGGUACCGUAAGAAUAAGCACCGGCUAACUACGUGCCAGCAGCCGCGGUAAUACGUAGGGUGCGAGCGUUAAUCGGAAUUACCGGGCGUAAAGCGUGCGCAGGCGGUUAUAUAAGACAGAUGUGAAAUCCCCGGGCUCAACCUGGGACCUGCAUUUGUGACUGUAUAGCUAGAGUACGGUAGCGGGGGAUGGAAUUCCGCGUGUAGCAGUGAAAUGCGUAGAUAUGCGGAGGAACACCGAUGGCGAAGGCAAUCCCCUGGACCCUGUACUGACGCUCAUGCACGAAAGCGUGGGGAGCAAACAGGAUUAGAUACCCUGGUAGUCCACGCCCUAAACGAUGUCAACUGGUUGUUGGGUCUUCACUGACUCAGUAACGAAGCUAACGCGUGAAGUUGACCGCCUGGGGAGUACGGCCGCAAGGUUGAAACUUAAGGAAUUGACGG